rnacentral:rRNA from 1 species
GACGAACUCUGGCGGCGUGCUUAACACAUGCAAGUCGAACGAUGAAGCUUGGUGCUUGCACUGGGUGGAUUAGUGGCGAACGGGUGAGUAACACGUGAGUAACCUGCCCUUUACUUCGGGAUAAGCUUGGGAAACUGGGUCUAAUACCGGAUAUUCUGCAUGGUCGGAUGGUUGUGUAGGAAAGAUUUUUUGGUAAGGGAUGGGCUCGCGGCCUAUCAGUUUGUUGGUGGGGUGAUGGCCUACCAAGACGACGACGGGUAGCCGGCCUGAGAGGGCGACCGGCCACACUGGGACUGAGACACGGCCCAGACUCCUACGGGAGGCAGCAGUGGGGAAUAUUGCACAAUGGGGGAAGCCCUGAUGCAGCGACGCCGCGUGGGGGAUGACGGCCUUCGGGUUGUAAACCUCUUUCAGUAGGGAAGAAGCGAAAGUGACGGUACCUGCAGAAGAAGUACCGGCUAACUACGUGCCAGCAGCCGCGGUAAUACGUAGGGUACUAGCGUUGUCCGGAAUUAUUGGGCGUAAGAGCUCGUAGGUGGUUUGUCGCGUCUGCUGUGGAAACGUGCCGCUUAACGGUGCGCGUGCAGUGGGUACGGGCGGACUAGAGUGCAGUAGGGGAGUCUGGAAUUCCUGGUGUAGCGGUGAAAUGCGCAGAUAUCAGGAGGAACACCGGUGGCGAAGGCGGGACUCUGGGCUGUUACUGACGCUGAGGAGCGAAAGCAUGGGGAGCGAACAGGAUUAGAUACCCUGGUAGUCCAUGCCGUAAACGUUGGGCACUAGGUGUGGGGUCCAUUCCACGGAUUCUGCGCCGUAGCUAACGCAUUAAGUGCCCCGCCUGGGGAGUACGGCCGCAAGGCUAAAACUCAAAGGAAUUGACGGGGGCCCGCACAAGCGGCGGAGCAUGCGGAUUAAUUCGAUGCAACGCGAAGAACCUUACCAAGGCUUGACAUGCACUAGACGAUUGCAGAGAUGUGGUUUUCUUUUUGACUGGUGUACAGGUGGUGCAUGGUUGUCGUCAGCUCGUGUCGUGAGAUGUUGGGUUAAGUCCCGCAACGAGCGCAACCCUCGUUCUAUGUUGCCAGCACGUGAUGGUGGGAACUCAUGGGAGACUGCCGGGGUCAACUCGGAGGAAGGUGGGGAUGACGUCAAAUCAUCAUGCCCUUUAUGUCUUGGGCUUCACGCAUGCUACAAUGGCCGGUACAGAGGGUGGCGAUACCGUGAGGUGGAGCGAAUCUCUUAAAGCCGGUCUCAGUUCGGAUCGUAGUCUGCAACUCGACUACGUGAAGUCGGAGUCGCUAGUAAUCGCAGAUCAGCAAUGCUGCGGUGAAUACGUUCCCGGGCCU